AUGGAACCUCUUACCCUCCGGUUCUGAGCGCGCCGCACGCACUCACCUGACCACCGCUCGCUACGUUUUGUCAGCC
rnacentral:sRNA from 1 species